rnacentral:rRNA from 1 species
UACAGAGGGGGCAAGCGUUAUUCGGAAUUAUUGGGCGUAAAGGGCGCGUAGGCGGCCUGGCAAGUGGAAGGUGAAAUCCCUCGGCUUAACCGAGGAACUGCCCUCCAAACUGCUUGGCUUGAGUCCGGGAGAGGUGAGUGGAAUUCCCAGUGUAGCGGUGAAAUGCGUAGAUAUUGGGAGGAACACCAGUGGCGAAGGCAGCUCACUGGACCGGAACUGACGCUGAGGUGCGAAAGCGUGGGGAGCAAACAGG